ACCAGGUGUGGUGGUGCACACCUGUAAUUCCAGCGACUUUGGAGGCUGAGGCAGGAGGAUCACAAGUUCAAGGACAGGCUCAGCAACUUAGUGAGACCCUGUCUCAA
rnacentral:sRNA from 1 species